rnacentral:rRNA from 1 species
AUACGGAGGGUGCAAGCGUUAUCCGGAUUCAUUGGGUUUAAAGGGUACGUAGGCGGAUAGAUAAGUUAGUGGUGAAAUCCCGAAGCUCAACUUCGGAACUACCAUUAAAACUGUCUAUCUUGAAUUUGGUUGAAGUGGGCGGAAUAUGACAUGUAGCGGUGAAAUGCAUAGAUAUGUCAUGGAACACCGAUAGUGAAGACAGCUCACUAAGCCAAUAUUGACGCUGAGGUACGAAAGCAUGGGUAGCGAACAGGAUUAGAUACCCUAGUAGUCC